AGCGGGGAACCCGGCGCACGUGGCCGAUUACCGGCUGGAGCCGGCGCGUGCAAGAGCUGCGGGCGUGGAGUGGGCGGUGGAACCCGGCCGAGCGCGGCCUGCCGCCUAGACUGGGAUGGAUUCUUUGCUCAGCAAGUCCUUUAAACAGGAUUUUACCAAGUCAUCCUUGAAACCUUCCCUUUUUACUUCCCCAUUUUCACCGCUUCUAACAUUGUACAGAGCACAAGUUCCCAGAGUAAAACAACCCCAAUCCAGGCUAUCCCAUUCUGCAAAUCCAGGAGACCAGGACCUCUGGCAUCACUCUUAAAAUGAAAACUAAAGAAUUGACAGUAGGAAGGAAGAAAACAAAGAAAACAAGAUGCUGCAAGUUUAUGUCUAUAGGUCCACCUUGGGCUAAGAAGUGGCCUUGGGCAGGAAGAGGUACCAAGUUUAUAGCAUGGAAUCUGAAAGGUGAGGUGAAAGAAGAAAGUCUGAAACUGGGAGACAGGACGAGGCCACUGCUCCAGAACCAAGUCCAUGAGAGCUGAGUAGCCAUGGAAUGCCCCUCAUAUGUGGUACUUGGCUUGGCUGAAGCUCAAAGAGAUGGAUGUGUUCCACUUUUAUUUCUUUUGACCCCAUUAUCAGAAGUCAGCCUUUAUUUCAAUUAAUAUAAUAAGGCCAUA